rnacentral:rRNA from 1 species
AACGAACGCUGGCGGCAUGCCUAACACAUGCAAGUCGAACGAGACCUUCGGGUCUAGUGGCGCACGGGUGCGUAACGCGUGGGAACCUGCCCUUAGGUUUGGAAUAACACCCCGAAAGGGGUGCUAAUACCGGAUAAUGUCUGCGGACCAAAGAUUCAACGUCCUUGGAUGGGCCCGAGUUGGUUUAACUUGUUGGUAGGGUAAAAGCCUACCAAGGCGACGAUCCAUAGCUGGUCUGAGAGGAUGGUCAGCCACACUGGGGCUGAGACACGGCCCAGACUCCUACGGGAGGCAGCAGUGGGGAAUCUUGGACAAUGGGCUAAAGCAUGAUCCAGCAAUGCCGCGUGAGUGAUGAAGGCCUUAGAGUUGUAAAGCUCUUUUACCCGGGAUGAUAAUGACGGUACCGAAAGAAUAAGCUCCGGCUAACUCCGUG